rnacentral:rRNA from 1 species
UACAGAGGUCUCAAGCGUUGUUCGGAUUCAUUGGGCGUAAAGGGUGCGUAGGUGGCGCGCUAAGUCAGGUGUGAAAUUUCGGAGCUUAACUCCGAAACUGCAUUUGAUACUGGCGUGCUUGAGGACUGGAGAGGAGACUGGAAUUCAUGGUGUAGCAGUGAAAUGCGUAGAGAUCAUGAGGAAGACCAGUGGCGAAGGCGGGUCUCUGGACAGUUCCUGACACUGAGGCACGAAAGGCCAGGGGAGCAAAACGGGG